GUAUACAUUUAUAUACAUACCGAUUGGCGAGUAAAACUCUCUGAACGGAUAAGAAAAAAAAAAAAAGAAAGAUGAAGAAGAUAAGAGAAACUAUAAUAGGGCUGUUAAUUAUUGAGAAUCAUCUAAGCGAUAUAUUAGAAAAGGGAUAUGCACGUGUUUGGAUACGUGUGUCGAUGCGCAUCGAUUGUCCGUGAAAUGGAUCGUACAAAUAAACGAUCCAUUUGUAACAUUGUUCUGUCACGGUCUUUUUCCAAGAAAAAGAGACGAAAGUAUACAAGAGAACGAAAGCAAAGAAAAUAAUAGGGGAAUGUCGCGCGUAGCUCUGCAUACGAUAGUUCGGAAAAGAACGACAGGAAACUAAGCAUACGACAAGACACUUGUCCCUUGUGUUUUACGACUCCCUUCAAAACAAACGAUUGUUAUAUUGUAUCGAGCACAAAAAGUUGCGUUACUUUUUUCUAUAAUGUUACGUUCAAUUGUAUUUUCGCGAGAGUAAACGAUUCUUUAGCUUUUCGAUUCUCACCUCGGAUUUGAACGUUUCAAAAACGCUCCGCUUUUUCGACGUUGCCGAACGAGAAGCGAUACACUUUUCGAUUUUGUUACACCGAUAUAAAUGGGUUAAUUCGAAAACUAAACGAAAGUUGCGCCGACUAAUCGUCGAGCUCUUCUCAACUCUAGUCGAUAGAGAGGAGUGUUUUUCGUGUUUUCCCUAUCGACGCGACGAGAAUCCACUCGGCAUUCUUUUUUAAUAUUCUCCAAUAUUCUUGUUAAUAUUCCUUUCGAUUUCCAAGGAAAUGAUUUUAAUCUGACGAUUAGCGUGAUUAUUCGAGGCAAAGUUGAAACGACCAAUCAACGAUCGGGAAAAAUCAAAAUGAAUCCGAGAUGUGCGGAUCGAUAAACGCGACGACAAGCGAGCAUGCAUCACACGGCUUGUAAGCCUGAACACGAGAAAGAAGACAAAAAUAGGUCUUUGUUUUUUUGAUCGACGACGCGAAAAUGAUUACGUUUUUAUUUGAUAAUUUUUGCUUGUUAUUAAAAGUUUACGUGACCUCUUGGGCACCACACUAUGAUUGUUAUUGAUGAAGUAUAUAUUAUACUAUAUAUACAUAUAUAUAUAUUUUAUAUAUGUAUAUAUAAUUAGUUCACAGCAUUUGAAUUUACUCUAAAUAAUUACUUUACACUCUAAUCACAUUUAUUUGCAUCCAUAAAUUGUUAUUCUUUCAUCAUCAGAGUUAUUCCAUUCAAUGUUAAAUAAUUAUAAAUAUUAAACAUAAUAUAUUAACUAUUUUCACUCAUGAGAAAGCAUCGUUACCUGUAUGACAAGUGACCAUAAGAGCAUAAUAAACAAUCGCUCAUUAAAUGCAUUCUGUUGUUCUUCAUUUCAUGACCUGGCCACACACGUUCCAUCCAUCUACUCCAUCGAUCCAUCCAUCUGUCCAUUCAGUGUCGCUGUAUGAUCGUCAUACGCAUUCUCUUGUCGUUUUCUUUUUUUUUUCUCUCUAUCUCUUUCAUUCACCAAAGACUGUUUCUCCGAGUAUACGUCGCAGAAGUUUCUACCGUAAAGGAAGAAAAAAAAAAAAAAAGAAAAAAAAAGAAACGUUCCUCGUCGAUGGAACGUCUUUUCUUUUCCUCUUUCUCUCUCUUUAUCUGUUUACCGUUUCGUUUCCGAUAACGGUGUCCAAAUGAAUUCUGUGCAAUUGUAAUUUUGUCGAAAUUAGGAAGGUUCCCAAUCGAUUGAUCGCGACACGUUCGUGCUUUAUUCGCGCGUCUCCUGUCUGACCGGACACGGUCUCGCUCCACUUACAACUUACGACGAAGCCUUCCAAAUUUUGAUAGAAAGCUCACGAGAGAUGAAAACACGCACUUCAUUAAGUGGUAGCAUGCGUACCUGUAAAUACGAUAAUGUACAAUUAACAAUUUUACGCGACUAGUCUGUAAGUUCUUUUAUAUGUACAUACACGAACGGGAGAAACGGGAAAAACAAAUGCGUUUGUAUAUGCGAUGUCAAGUUCACGUGCGUGUCUUGCCUCUGGUUUACUCCCGCGUUUCGUCACGGGGAACCGCGCGUUAAACCGGAGGAACGUGCGAAUAAUUCCGUAGGUACAAUAUUUUCGAAGCAUAUAUCGAACGGCGAAGAAGCGCAGACAUACCGUUACACUCGGAUUAAUAUUUAAUGUUAUCGUCGUUCUAUUGUACUCGUUCUAGCUAUGUGUCGGUUCUAUCGCGAACUUUGUCGUUGCUGUUGUUCUUGUUAAACGUAUCUCACGUUCGGAAUAGCAUAUCAUUCGGAAUAUAUAUGGCACUAAAGGAACCGGCGAGAUCGGUUGCCCUUGCAUUUCGUCAGCGUACAAAAUUCGGCGUACAAAACAGAAAAACCCGUGCUGUUCUAACUAGUCAGUAUAGAUAAGGGAAUGUAUUUUUUUACACCAUUGAUUUGUAAUAAAGAUAUUGAAAACGAAAGAAAAUUAAUCCAGUUCAGACAGAGGAGAUACCGAGAGCGCUUGUGUUAUUCGAAACGAAAAAAAAAAAAAAAAAAAAAAAAAAAGAGAAGAUAAGGAGAACAAAGCGAUAUCGAUGAAACCUUUGUGAAGCGGAUCGACGUUUUUCCUUUUAGUUUCACGCUUCUAGCUGUUGCUCAGUUAUUUUGCUAAACUCUGUUUCAGUUUUAAAUUUCCGUCUACCGAUUACGUUUGGAGUAAUUCGCGGUGGGACGAUUCGAUCGUGAUUAUGCGAAAUAUCUUCUGUUGCCGGAGCGCGGUGAUUUCAGUACGUUAAUAAACAUCGACCAUACUGGCUACAGUCAAAACGUAUUUUUUAUUCGAAUGAUAAGUGCACAUUCACAAAUGUAUUUAUAGUUUGUUGACAGCGUUUUUUUCGUUUUUUUUAGCUUCGCAUCUACAAAUUAAUAUACAUACACUAUGACACAGAAUUUAUUAUUCCUCAUAAGCAGUGAACGUACAUAAUUCAUUUUCACUUACAAAAUAUCUAUGCGUAUCAUACCGGUGAUUCUUUCCUUACUUAAGUUUUCAUUAAGUAUCGUUUGCAUCCGUUAUUAUAAUACAUACACGCAUUUGCUCCUACAAAGUUUCUUCACGCAUCCUUUUACAAAUGUGUACGCUGCUCUACCUAACUAAACUCUACUUAGGACCAUCAGUAAAAUGAACUCCUAAUCUGGUUCAACCAUUAUUGCCCUUAGUUUGUCCGACUAUACAGUGAUACUAUGUUGCGUAUUUCCCUUUUUUUUCCUGUUAAUUUGCUUGUAAAACAAAUGUUCACUGAUUCGUUAUUACCGUUAGUAUUCUAAUUAUUAUUAUAAUUAUCAUUAUUAUUACGUACUUUCCUGCUUCGGGCUCUCACAUGUUCGCGAACAAGCUAAUAGUGAAAAAGCGCUAAAAGUAUAGUUAUCGGUCUCCCGAAUUA